UUAGUACGGCGAGUGAAGCGGUAAAAGCUCAAAUUUGAAAUCUGGUACUUUCAGUGCCCGAGUUGUAAUUUGUAGAAUUUGUCUUUGAUUAGGUCCUUGUCUAUGUUCCUUGGAACAGGACGUCAUAGAGGGUGAGAAUCCCGUUUGGCGAGGAUACCUUUUCUCUGUAAGACUUUUUCGAAGAGUCGAGUUGUUUGGGAAUGCAGCUCAAAGUGGGUGGUAAAUUCCAUCUAAAGCUAAAUAUUGGCGAGAGACCGAUAGCGAACAAGUACAGUGAUGGAAAGAUGAAAAGAACUUUGAAAAGAGAGUGAAAAAGUACGUGAAAUUGUUGAAAGGGAAGGGCAUUUGAUCAGACAUGGUGUUUUUUGCAUGCACUCGCCUCUCGUGGGCUUGGGCCUCUCAAAAAUUUCACUGGGCCAACAUCAAUUCUGGCAGUAGGAUAAAUCAUUAAGAAUGUAGCUACCUCGGUAGUGUUAUAGCUUAUUGGAAUACUGCUAGCUGGGAUUGAGGACUGCGCUUCGGCAAGGAUGUUGGCAUAAUGGUUAAAUGCCGCCCGUCUUGAACACGGGACCAAUAA
rnacentral:rRNA from 1 species